rnacentral:rRNA from 1 species
GAUGAACGCUGGCGGCGUGCCUAAUACAUGCAAGUCGGGCGAAGCGGGGACGGGUGAGUAACACGUGGAUAACCUCCUAUAAGACUGGGAUAACUUCGGGAAACCGGAGCUAAACCGGAUCCUUAUCGCUGGAUCCUCGCUCUAUGAGCUAGUUGGUAAGGUAACGGCUUACCAAGGCAACGAUGCAUAGCCGAACUGAGAGGGGGAUCGGCCAAACGGGAACUGAGACACGGUCCAGACUCCUACGGAGGGCAGAAGUAGGGAAUCUUCCGCAAGGGGCGAAAGCCGGAUAGAGAAACGCCGCGUGAGUAAUGAAGGUCUUCGGAUCGUAAAACACUGUUAUUAGGGAAGCGGUACCUAUUCAGAAAGCCACGGCUAACUACGUGCCAGCCGCCGCGGUAAUAC